AUCUAGGCGGGUGUCACCUUCACAGCCAGAGGACCUACUCGCCAGAGAUCCAGAAAGCCAUCGAGGGCGUCCAGUUCAUCGCGCAACACAUUAGGGACGCGGACCGCGAUAAUGAGGUGAUACAGGAUUGGAAAUACGUGGCGAUGGUGCUGGAUCGUCUCUUCCUGUGGGUGUUCACUAUCGCCUGUGUGGUGGGCACUUGUGGCAUCAUCUUUCAGGCUCCCUCGCUCUACGACACUCGCGCACCUAUUGACGAAAUCUACUCGCAAAUUGGGACCGAAGUUUCUACAACCCAAAAUACCGGUUAAUAAAUCACACACGGUGCUUCUCUUGUGUGUGUGUGUGUGUGUAAGUGUGUGUGUGUGAACGUACGUGUGUGUGUACGUGUGUGUGUGUACGUACGUGUGUUUGUACGUGUGUGUGUGUGAACGUACGUGUGUGUGUGUACGUGUGUGUGUGUGUACGUACGUGUGUGUGUACGUGUGUGUGUGUAUGUGUGUGUGUGUUUAUUCCUAUAUGUUUGCUUCUUUGCUUAUAAUAAGUCGUAGUUGCGCCUUCAAUGUUCCAUUUAAAAAACAAAAACAAAAAGACACACACACACACACACACACAUAUAUAUAUAUAUAAAUAUAUAUCUAAAUAUUUAUGAAUAUUAUCAUCCCUCAGUUUUAUUGACCCUUACAGACCAACUCUCAGGACUUGUGAGGGAGAGUUCGGUCUCCAGUGUGAGUUAGUGUAAGUUAAGACUAUUUACAAGUACUAUGUUAAGGGCUGUUUUAUCUCACUUAGAGAAGUUUUAGUAGUGAAGGCUCUAAAGUCAUUAUAGUGUCAUAAGUUUGAGAACUAUUAAGUAAAAGCGACGCUCAUUAUAAAGUUCUGUAGUGUUGUGACAUUUCUGUUGCACGCGCGUGUGUGUCUGUGUGAGUGUUUGUUUGACUAUGCGUGUGUGUGUGUAAGUAUGUAUCUUCAUGCACACAAGAGAGAGCUAUUGACAUCUUUGAUGGAAGUUUGAAGUAUUUAAAUCGCUCAUGAAUUCAAAACUUUGGCUUCAGUCAGUGAGUGUAGUUGACUGGUCAGUUGACAAAGCACCACCACGUGUUACUGACCCGUAGAGGACAGCCGCCUCGUCAUGUUCCUGGGUCAUGUGAUUAUAGACGUUACCUAAUAAUUCACAUGUUAGACAAUACUUGUUAUCGUCUUUACUGGUUGUCAAAGCUGCUCAAGAGGUUCCCGCGUUUUCACUACAGAAAAAAACCCCCGCUAAACCUCUCUCUGAUGUCAUGAAGUGGUGACUUAAAACUGAUGUCAGAAUAUAAACAAGAUCCCUCCCCUAUGGUGAAGAUAACCUUUCCUUCUCUCCAUGUUGUUGAUGCAUAACAUUAAUAUUAGGGAAGAGUGUAUGGGACAUUUUAUAUGCUUAAGAUUUGUACAUAAACAAAAGAUACCAAGACGUAGAGGUAAUAAUACUAUUUGUUGAACUGGUCAGGUGACACCAACCAUCCCUCCCUCCUUCCCUCUUACUUGAGAUACAUAGUCAAUGGACUUUUUUAAACCAUCAACAAGGUGUAAUUCCAAAACCCUUUACAAUGUAUUCUCAUUUAAAUCUUCGAUGUUACAGGAAUCAAUAUGGAAUUUGUACAAUUUUUUACAGCUAUUUGUCUGUUAGCUUUAUAGCUUUAGAGCAUAGUAGUUUUCCCCAGACCUCCACACAUCUUAGUUGGUCUGCGGCUCAUACUCCUCACGGUCUAAGAGGUGUUAAGGUCUGGUAGUGAGACCCAGGGAUGUACUGGAGUGUAUGACUGAUUGGUUCACACCUGACAGCACUAGCACGCCCGCAAUAGAUGUUUUCUUUUGGCCAUUAAAUAUUAAAACAACAACAACGAGAUGACAGUUUUAAAAGACGGACAGGAUAUUAUUUCUUAAUUUGUCAGAGAUUAUUAUCCGGUUUAGAUAUUAAGACUUGGUGAACGAUACUUAAAGAAUCUGGGAGUUGAAGCAUUACACAACAGUAACAACAACUGCGUCAAACUGCUGCACUCUGGCUGUGGGUCCUGUGCUCACCGCGUCUUAGCAUUAUCAUCCACCAUACUCCGCUAACGAGACUUUUCAUGGAGUCGAGUGUACAGAAGGGUCAAUGUUCAGGCAAUUAGAUGGGCGUUAUCACCCGUGUCAACUAUCCAACUCGUUAUCCGGAACACUGUCGCGUAUAGGAGGACUUACUUCAUUCCUUAGUCUUGGAGGCACACAGUGGCAUUUUGAUUUCUCCGUUAAAUGGGGACCGGAGGUUGAACCAAUAUGCCACUACCAGGUGCUGUCUACGGUGCAACUAAUUACUGUAUACAAAUGGACACUGGAUAAGAGACGAACGAAGAUAAACAGAUGUAUAUUUACUGUCAGUUAUCCUUAAGUCUCUUUCGUUUGUCCAUUAUUUUCAUGUUAUUAAAGUGUCGAGUCACAGGUGUAGUGUCUCACCUGUGCUAACACUUGACCCUCACUCAGGCACAGGUGUAGUGUCUCACCUGUGCUAACACUUGACCCUCACUCAGGCACAGGUGUAGUAUCUCACCUGUGCUAACACUUGACCCUCACUCAGGCACAGGUGUAGUGUCUCACCUGUGCUAACACUUGACCCUCACUCAGUAUUACUUAAAAAGAUUUUCCUCGCAGUUGACUUCAUUAUGAGACUUAAGUUAAUUACUUUUUGGUAGUUUUUAUGCUUAAUGGACAACUUCAGGAAGAUGAAUUUUGUAAGUUACUCUAAGGUCUGGCACUGAUACGUGUUCUUAUCCCACAAAUAUGCUGCAGCGAGCGGCCUAUUCCGAAGAAGUUAUCAUUUAAAUACAAACUGACCACAAAGUAGAGGUGACGCCAAGCAGCAAGAGGUUGACAGAGGUGCUGUACAAGGUUGACCACAGUUUUUUGGUUCCAUUUGGUAUUUUUGUAUUUCACCAAAAAUAUCAGCGAAUAAACACAAUGACUGGAGUUGACCUUUAAAGUAAUUGUAUUUUCUCACCUGUAUUUAACAAGUGUUGUAUAGUAUUUCUUCCCUAAUUCCCUUGAUUGUUGGUCCUAUUUUGGUGAAUUAAUAGUUGUUAUAUAUAUAUAUAUAGGUCAUUAUAUAGCUUACCUGACCCAUGAACGAACCCAGCGUUAUAAGAUUGUGUGACGUGAGUACCCAGGGAGGUGUUGGCUGGAGCCCGUCACUUGCCGCCGCCUCCUGACCAGUGUAUCGCAGUCGUGGGCAAAAGUAAACAUACUAACUCCAUACACAGAGUACUGUAUACUUCUUGAUAUGAACGAGUUGUUGUCUAGUGUAGAAACUGAUAGUGAACAGUGCUUAAAGAUCUUAACUAUUGCAGCACCUGACUACUUUAACAACAACAACCUCUCAUCUGGAAGUUGUAAACAUCAUUUGCCUUUUUAAUUUAAUAAUGAACUGUGGCGACGUGAGGCUUCAUUCUGUAAUUUGCUCAAUUUAUAUCAAACAAUGCCUUUAUUUUCACUCGCAUUACCUGAAAAUAAAGUGAAAACUCAGGUUAGUUCCUGAAAUGUCUGUCGAGGACUUACUAAUAUCGGAAAAUAUAUGGAUGGUGACAAGGCUAACCAAUCACUAUCACCACACAUCUGUUCUAAGAGUCUGAUUGUGUUAGAGCAGUGAAGGUAAUCAGUGUUAACGAUAAGACUAAACCAACCACUGGCAGUUAUGUAAAAUAACCCUCAGAAAACGCUAAAACACCAAUACACGAUAAUGAACACAACGCAACACACAGCACAACACUUCAGAUCUGUUCCAUUCUGCCGCUCGAAAAAGCAUCAACCCAGACUCCUAAAAACCCACCAACACGCAGAGAACACUACCAUGCGUAACACCAAGCUAAUAUUCUUGUUUCCUCUUGAUCACUAAAGUUUUAUAAGUGUUUUGCCACAACAUGGAGAACACACUUGUGAUAUUGAGAAAUGAUUUAUGAUUUCUAUAACGUUCGUGCCAAGUUGUUGAUAUUUUGAGUCAUCUUGAAAUUGAUUAUCAAAUACAAACGUAACUGCAAUGAGGACACAUACAUUGAGAGUUUAAUGCAAAUGAAUAAUGUUUGAAAAAAUAGCUUUAUAGUCACAACCUCUCCCUGUUACAUGAAAUGGUGAUUAACUAAUAUCAUCUGCUUCAAACUGUACAAUAAGAAACAUCCUUCACACGAGAAAAACUUAUCAGUCAAGGCAGGACAGACAGACAUUGGGUUGAUUAGACAGAGAGGGAUAUUAGUGUGCGUAUACCUGGUCGCUAUAAAACUGUCACAUCUCAAGUAAAAUAUAAAAACAGUAAGCUAUGUAAAACAGAUAACGUAUUUAUUCUGUGUAACCUUACCGUCAAUAUAACCCCUCACGACCCCUUAAAGUUGUAAAUAUUAAUAAACCUUUUCAAUAUAAUGCUCCAACUAUUAUAAUGCUCGUGGUCAUCAUUGGUUUUAUAACAUGAAUCUCUAACCAAAAAUUUGAGAGAAAUUGGGCUAAAGGUCAAAGGGAUUAAGGGAUAACUCGUGUAUCGUGGGCCGCGCAGUGUUGACUUGCUGGCGAUGAGGUCGAGGGUAAAACGCGGUGUUGUGAAGUGCUUAGGUGGCAAGAUCCUAUUAGUCUUUUCUUACCAUUGUAGAUGUUUUCCCUUUCUUUUUCGUUUUUCCUCUUUUUUUCUCUCUACUUCCUUUAUUCUCUCUUGUCUGUGUGCCUGUUUCCAUCUGCCUGUAGGUCUCUCUCUCUCCCUGUCUCCCAAACUUUAUAUAUUAGAUUAAGUGAACGAUAAGUAUCUUGGUGAUUUAUACUGUUUGUGCAUAUAAACACACACAUAUAUAAAUAUAUAUAUAUACAUAUAUCUAUUUUUGGGGAAGUAUUUCCUUUGAAAUAACAGAGAUUUCCCAAGAAUUGCCGACAAUUGCUUAAUAGCUGUAGUUGUUCAGUAGACUAGUUCAAGAAAUGGGUUGGUUGGAUCAACCCCGACACACAUGCUGUUGUUCUCUGAUUUUUACAUUGUGUUCCCAGAAUUUCAGACUUCGAGGCUGACGCGGGGAGCAGCGGGUCACUUUUUUCAGAGGUUGUUUAUGUCCGCACUCACCGGCUGUCGCCCCGAUCUCUGAAUUUCAGGAACUGUUAACACAAAGCGCACUCAACGAAGAUUAGCAUUUUUUUUCUAAUCAAGUUUAUUCUUAUGUGAUUAGAGAGAUCCAUCAGCAGUGGUGAUUCUUUAUAAGGAAGUCUUUUGUUUAUGACUAAGGCUUAACGGAGACGUGAUUUGUAAACCUUUUGAAAGAAGAGAAAUUGUGAUUUAUUUCAGUGAUGUAUUGAUACGAGAUAGACUAAAACCACCACACCUUUUUACCCUUUCAAUGGAGUUUGUUCCUUAAUAUGUAAUCAAAUAUGUAUACCUUAGAAAAAAGAAAAAACAUCUUCAACAUAAAGAAGUUUCACUGCUCACACACGUCUAAAAAAAAAAUUAUGUUAACUAAAAAAAUAAUAAUAAUUUACCAUGUUGAAUCAAAAUCUGUGCCAAGAACGAGUAGAAACAAGAAGAGUCUUCCUCCAGUACCCGAAUGUUUUGCUCACUCUUACGGUUUCAGCACUACAUAAAAUAUUUAGAAGAAGAAAACAAAAAAAAUAUGUGAAGCACUUUGAGAUAUUUUUACCGCCCUUAGUUCAGUACCAACAACAUCCGGGGUCUUGAUACAAUAAGUGAAAGAGACAAGGGACACCUGGUGGAGAGAUACUAGUGACUAUGAUGUAGUAGUACAGUAUUAUAUGAAUAGGUAAUCAAUAAAAUAUAUCAUUCUUCAAUAGUAUCCCCCUUGAACCUGCCCUUAUGAUAAAAAAUGGGAAAUUGUUUUACUCUACGUGGAAUUUUGAGAUAACUUUAGUCAAAUGAGCAUCUUUGGGUACGAUAAAAAUAUGACACUUAAUUGAUUAGUUACAACACUUAGAAACUCAAAUACGUCUCUUAGAUGUUCAGAUAUGAUGCUUGAUGUUUAUAUCCGACUUCUAAUUCACAUAUAUGAUCCUUAAUGCUCAGAUCUGGCCCUCAAGUACCAAUAAGUGACACUCGAAGCUCCACACAAAACAUAAUGGCUUUCGUCAGCUCCUCAAUGUUGAUAUAUCCAAUUUACGAUUCAAAAAAAAAAAAAUUAACAAUGGGGUAAUAAUAAUCAAUGGCUGUCUUAUGCCAAACUUUAAUAAUAGUAAUAAUAAAAAUAAUGAUAAUAAUAAAACACAUCCCUCACUCAUUAAUGAAAACAACAUCCAUACGUGAGGUCAGGAAAGGUGGAAAUUCAUGUAACAAAAAAAAUCAAUAUAUAUAAAGGAGAAACAUUCAUGUAUCUCUCUCCGUCUAUCUCUCUCCUCCAUCAGCUGUCUCUCGUCUCUCUACUUCACCAGGGUGUUGUGUCAAGUACUUCCCUCUCAAUAAAAACAAACAAAAAAAUAAACACAUCCUUCUUUGUCAAUAAAAACCCCUAAACAUUCA
rnacentral:misc_RNA from 1 species